rnacentral:tRNA from 1 species
GAGGGUACAGCUCAGUGGUAGAGCACGUGCUUAGCAUGCAUGAGAUCCUGGGUUCAAUGUCCAGUACUGCCA